rnacentral:sRNA from 13 species
UUAAAAAAUAGACAUUCAUUCAUCCAUUUAUUCAUAUAAGUAGUAGAGGUUCCUGAAUGAGUAAAGCAUUUACGAAAUAGAGAACGAUGCGAAUCACAAAGAAAACUGAAACAAACUUAACGACUUCCAGCUUGAACACGUAAAUACAUUUACAGCUGAAACUUCUAUACACAGUGUGUGUGAUGUCUAGACAUGUUAAGGGUAUACCAACGGGAAUGUCUUUCAAAUAUGAGCCCAAGAGACCAGAGUAUUCCACUUAUGAACAGAGAAUAGCCACCUACACAACUUGGAACGUUGCUUUCAUUUCACCAAUAGAUUUGGCUAUGGCCGGUCUUUGGUAUCUGGGCGAAGGAGAUCGAGUACGUUGUUUCUUCUGUGGUGGAGGACUUCGGGAUUGGCUGCCAGACGAUAUCCCACUGAAAGAACAUCAAAAAUUAUUUCCGAAAUGUGGCUAUUUAGAAUUGGUGUCUAAUAAUCCAAUGUUGGAAUCCAGUAAAUCAAGGCUUUAAAAAGUUGACUAUUGCCCUAGAACGUAAUCUGAUGGUUAUUAACCCAGUGAAACAGGCACAUUGAGAUGAUGCACGUAAGACAACCGGUUAUAGGCCUACUGGUCACAAAUAGUCGCCUUAAUUUACUGGUCAAACAAAUUUAUUUUGGUGUAUGUGUGUGUGUAUAUUUUGUGUGUGCAGAUAACGGUGUUGGGGGCAGAAAUGCUCAUAACACACAAACAAUGAAUGCUGACUCAAAGUCUGCAAUGACAAACAAUGUUAAAAGAAGAAUCAACAACAUCACCAAGUUAUAUAAACCUGUAUUAUAUAUAAUUACAAUUUUGUCAUAAUGUCUUGUAAAUGACUGUGUGUUAAUACAUUUUGAAAUAUUUUGAUCAAUGUUACGAGUAUCCUUUGUACAGAAAAACAUUCACUCGUUAUUGCCAUAUUCAGAUUCAAAUAAAAAAAAAUGGUCUUGCUAACUUUAAACA